CUGGCAACCAUUGUUCUAAACUGCACUUAGAAUGGUGCCUAGAACAUAGUAGCUGCUGUAAGGGUGCAGUGCUUUGCAACCAAGAUCUUCUUCAAAAUGAAGACUCCUGUGAGUGCUGCCAAAAGACAGUUCUCACCUAUCAGCCCUCAUUGGAGAUUGCCUAUGGCCAAAAUUACACAAGACCUGAUCAAGCAAAGGUAUUGUGAAGAUUGACUGAGCAGAGAUAUAAAAGCCUGGACACCAUGCCCCAACUUGGGACAACUCUGAAGGGCCACAAGUUCCAACACUUCCCAUGGAGUUGCCUGAACCCUUUGCUGAGACCACAUCAAAGCUCAACUUUUCCCUUUGCCCAGUUUUGCUUCCUUUCACUCCUUUUCACAGGUAUUGAUUUCAAGAGCCCUCCCUGUUUAAUGUGCUCUGUCUCAUAGCCUGCUGCUCAGAGAACUCUCAAAUCUCUUCUUUCUCUGGUCCACUGAGAAUAACUGCAAACCCCAAAUCCUUCCCUCAGUUUCAAACACAUUUCAAUCAAUAUCUUUAUGGGGUCUGAGAGGUUGAAUUAUUUUAUCUGACUCUUUAUUAUUUCCUGUGUCUACAUUCUAUGCCUGGUAGUUUUGCAUUUUCUGCAACUAAAGAUGGA
rnacentral:lncRNA from 1 species